rnacentral:rRNA from 1 species
GUAGGUGGCAAGCGUUGUCCGGAAUUAUUGGGCGUAAAGCGCGCGCAGGUGGUUCUUUAAGUCUGAUGUGAAAGCCCCCGGGCUCAACCGGGGAGGGUCAUUGGAAACUGGGGGACUUGAGUGCAGGAGAGGAAAGUGGAAUUCCACGUGUAGCGGUGAAAUGCGUAGAUAUGUGGAGGAACACCAGUGGCGAAGGCGACUUUCUGGCCUGUAACUGACACUGAGGCGCGAAAGCGUGGGGAGCAAACAGGAUUAGAUACCCUGGUAGUCCACGCCGUAAACGAUGAGUGCUAAGUGUUGGGGGGUUCCCGCCCCUCAGUGCUGCAGCUAACGCAUUAAGCACUCCGCCUGGGGAGUACGGCCGCAAAGACUG